rnacentral:rRNA from 1 species
UACGUAGGGUGCAAGCGUUGUCCGGAAUUAUUGGGCGUAAAGAGCUCGUAGGCGGUUUGUCGCGUCUGCUGUGAAAACUCGGGGCUUAACCCCGGGCCUGCAGUGGGUACGGGCAGACUAGAGUGCGGUAGGGGAGACUGGAAUUCCUGGUGUAGCGGUGAAAUGCGCAGAUAUCAGGAGGAACACCGGUGGCGAAGGCGGCUUCCUGGACAAGUCCUGACUCUGAAACACGAAAGCCAGGGGAGCGAAUGGG